GCGUCGAUGGUCUAGUGGUUAUGACUUGGGCCUUCCAAGCAGAAUGCGAAGCGAGCCUACAACCCGGGUUCGAAUCCCGGUCGACGCA
rnacentral:tRNA from 1 species